AGAGUUUGAUUCUGGCUCAGGAUGAACGCUGGCGGCGUGCCUAACACAUGCAAGUCGAGCGAGAAAUUUUAAAAUGAAGCUUCGGUAGAUUUUUAAGAUGGAAAGCGGCGGACGGGUGAGUAACGCGUAGGCAACCUGCCCUUUGCAGAGGGAUAGCCAUUGGAAACGAUGAUUAAAACCUCAUAAUGCCGGACUGACACAUGUCAGAGCGGCCAAAGAUUUAUCGGCAAAGGAUGGGCCUGCGUCUGAUUAGUUAGUUGGUGGGGUAACGGCCUACCAAGACGACGAUCAGUAGCCGACCUGAGAGGGUGAUCGGCCACAUUGGAACUGAGACACGGUCCAA
rnacentral:rRNA from 1 species